AGGGAACGUGAGCUGGGUUUAGACCGUCGUGAGACAGGUUAGUUUUACCCUACUGAUGAAGUGUUGUCGCAAUAGUAAUUCAACUUAGUACGAGAGGAACCGUUGAUUCGCAUAAUUGGUAUUUGCGGUUAGCUGACCAGCUAGUGCCGCGACGCUACCAUGCGUUGGAUUAUGGCUGAACGCCUCUAAGUCAGAAUCCGUGCUAGAACGCGACGAUGUUUACCUUCUCCGUGUUUAGUCGAUUACAAAUAGACGCACCUGUGUGCGUCCGGAAUCAUGUGUGGGGCCGGCCGACGUCGCGGAAGCGCGGCGCCGGCCACCCGCGAUCGCAAAUGAAAUAUCGGAGAAGAUAAAUCCUUUGCAGACGACUUAAAUACGCAACGGGGUAUUGUAAGCAGUAGAGUAGCCUUGUUGCUACGAUCUGCUGAGAUUAAGCCUUUGUUG
rnacentral:rRNA from 13 species